UACGAAGGGGGCUAGCGUUGCUCGGAAUCACUGGGCGUAAAGGGUGCGUAGGCGGGUCUUUUAAGUCAGGGGUGAAAUCCUGGAGCUCAACUCCAGAACUGCCUUUGAUACUGAAGAUCUUGAGUUCGGGAGAGGUGAGUGGAACUGCGAGUGUAGAGGUGAAAAUUCGUAGAUAUUCGCAAGAACACCAGUGGCGAAGGCGGCUCACUGGCCCGAUACUGACGCUGAGGUGCGAAAGCGUGGGGAGCAAACAGG
rnacentral:rRNA from 1 species